ACGCUCGACACCUACGGGGGCAGCAGUGGGGAAUAUUGCACAAUGGGGGAAACCCUGAUGCAGCAACGCCGCGUGAAGGAAGACGGUUUUCGGAUUGUAAACUUCUAUCAAUAGGGAAGAAAGAAAUGACGGUACCUAAAUAAGAAGCCCCGGCUAACUACGUGUCAGCAGCCGCGGUAAUCUGAGCGGGCUGGCAAGGC
rnacentral:rRNA from 1 species